AUGUGCACGUGUGUGCACGUGUGUGCAUGCAUGUGCACAUGUGUGUGCAUGUGUGUGUACUUGUGUGCGUGUGUGCAUGUGUGCAUGUGCAUGCACGUGUGUGCAUGCGUGUAUGUGUGUGCACAUGUGUGCAUGCGUGUGCGUGUGUGUAUGUGCACGCGUGUAUGUGUGUGCGUGCGUGUGCGUGUGUGCGCGUUCAUGUGUGUGUGCAUGUGCAUGUGUACUUUGUGUGCGUGCAUGUGUGUGCGUGUGCGUAUAUGUGUGUGCGUGUGUGCAUGCAUGUGUGUGCAUGCGUGUAUGUGUGUGCGUGUAUGUGUGUGCGCAUGCAUAUGCGUGUGUAUGCGUGCGUGUGCGUGUGUGCACGUGCGUAUAUGUGUGUGCAUGUGUGUGCGCGUGUGUGCGCGUGCGUGUUUGUGUGUGUGUGCGUGUGUGCGCGUUCAUGUGUGUGUGCAUGUGCAGGUGUACUUUGUGUGUGUGCACGUGCGUAUAUGUGUGUGCAUGAGUGUGUGUGUGCGCGUGUGUGCACACAGGAUUCCGGGGGGGCAGCGAGGCCUCAGCAAAGGCGAGUGGAGAAGGCGAGCCAGCAGGGCUGCUGCCGGCCACGGGGUUCCAGCGCGAGCCGUGGAGGCCUGGGUCGGUCGGGCUCCACGCGCGGCAGCUGGGAGCGCAGGGAGCCGCGGAGGCUGUCCAGGGCAGCCCGGAGGGGGGCCCGGGGAGGAGGAGCUUACGUUUCGGAAACUCAGAGUGGGGUCCAGGGGCGGGUGGGGGCCCUCCUUGCCACGCGAGGGCUCCUGGAAGGUCCCGUCCUUGGAAGCCCCAGCGAGGGGUUACUGGCGCCCCCGAGGGCUGCUCUGCGCGCGAGGGGUUACUGGCGCCCCCGAGGGCUGCCCUGCUCUCCCUGCGGGAGCUCGGCUGCGGCACCGCCGGCACUGCCGCGCAGUCCGGGCCCUGGACAGACUGCGCUUGCGCAACAGCCACCUCGCAUUCCCGGGCCGAGAGAAGACAUCUCGCGAGGAAGUCCUCUGCUCUUUUAGGUUUGUUUUUUGUUUGUUUGUUUGUUUGUUUUUGCAUCAAAUUGCCCUCGAGGACGGGUCCCUGCACCCACGCCCUGGGCCCAUCCUGCUGGACCACACUGGCCCCGCGGCCUCAGAGCACCGGGCAGCUGACCACACAUGGCCUUACUCCCUAGAAGGCCACCUUUUGUCGUCCUGGGGGUGA
rnacentral:lncRNA from 1 species